AUGUUAUGUCAUUGUGAUCAGAGUGUAGGAACAAUGUUGGCUUCUCUGAUUUGUCCUUAUUAUACCAUGAACAUUGUCCUUUGUAACCACAGACACCUCGUACUCAUCAUUAUUGGGGCUGACGAUAUUUCAUUGGUGGGUGUAAAAUGAUUUACAAAUCCAUUCCCCUGUGUAGGCUUUGUUCUAAGCCCCUGAUUGACAGGUUGUUCACCACUUUUCCCAGUUAUGAAUGAUGUUAUAAUGAGCACCUCCAAGAUUAUUUCUCUACGUCGCAGUCCCAGGAUGGGAAUAACAGGAGCAAGAUUCCAAUCAUUUUCCUGAUUCCUGGAACGUUUUGUCAGAUUGCUUCCCAAGUGAGCUGGACCUUGUCUACCUGGCAAGCUGGGCACGGGGACCACAUUUCCACUCAUUUCCACUCCAUUUUUUACCAGCACUGAUCAUCCAUAAUUUUUUCCUAUGUCAAACAUAUCAAAUGGCUAGUGUUUUCGGUAACUUAACUGUGUGCCAGGUUCCGUCCCAAGCCCUUGGUAUGUCAUGAGUCCUCAUUCUUCCAACAGUCCCACCUGUUCGGGGCUGUAGCGUCCCAUUUUGCGGGGGAGGACACUGAGGCACAGGGAGAUGAAGUAGCCAGGGCCUCACAGCUAUGAGCUCAUGGAGUAUGGAUUCAAGCCCACGUAGUCGGGCUCAGAAGCGAGGCUGUGUCCUUCUAUUGGGAUUGAGCACAUUGCAUGUAUACCAUUUCCUUCUUAAAAUGAUGCUUAUUACUAUAAAAACCAAUACAUGCUUCCUACAGAAAAUUUAGAAGAUCCGGAAAGUCCAGAGGUCACCCAAAGUUCGGCGCUCCCCAGAGAUAACUGUUAACUGUUUGGAUACACUUCUGCUACUUUAAAAACUUUAUAAUAUUAUAAAAUGCUUAAAAUAAAUCUGGGGUAUACUGAAUAUGCCACUUAGCAUACCUCUAAUGUAUUCAACUUUAUAUCACAGGCCCCUAUCUUCAAAUAUCACGAUUUACCCAUGUCAUCAAAUAAUCUUUAACAACCAGACAUUUGGGGGAUUUGCAUAGCGUAUGUUUAUCCAGCCAGUGAAUCAGCCAAUCCCCUGUCGGACAUUUUAGUUGUUUCCAGUUUUUGACUUUAUUAUAAACAUCCCUUCUACUGAAGUCUUUGGCUGAGCACCUGACCAGUUUCCAAGUGAAAUCCUGGCAGGGAGGUCAUGGGGUCAAAGAAUGUUUCAACGAUCCCAGACACGUGUGCCAAUGGCUUCCCAGAAGUUCUGUAGCAACUGGCAUUCUGACUAGCGGCGGCCGGGACUGCGUCUGACCAAUGUCAUCCGUGGUAACUAUUACCAUGUUUAAAAGUCUUCCCAUGUAUUUCUAGGGGCGCCUGGGUGGCGCAGUCGGUUAAGUGUCCAACUUCAGCUCAGGUCAUGAUCUCAUGGCUCAUGGGUUCAAGCUCCACUUCGGGCUCUGUGCUGACAGCUCGGAGCCUGGGGCCUGCUUCGGAUUCUGUGGUCUCCCCCUUCUCUCUCUCUGCCCCCCACCCCCACUUAUGCUCUGUGUCUCUCUCAAAAAUAAAAACAUUAAAAAAUGGGAAAAAAAAUCUUCCCAUGUAUUUCUUUUAAUGUAUGACUCCUUUCAUGAUUGAGGAAAUACUUGUUUAUGGUGAAUAAUUCAUAGAACACAAAAAUGAAAGCUAUGGCUCUCUAUAAAUCUUCAUUCCAAAGAUAUAUCCACAUAAAGAUAGCACACAGUGUGUCUGGUAUAACACACACACACACACACACACACACGAUAUUAUUUUUCUUAAAGAUUUUUAUGUUGUUUAUGUAAACUCUACACCCAACGUGGGGCUGGAACCCACAACCCCGAGGUCAAGAGUCGCAUGCUCUGUUGACUGAGCCAGCCAGGCACACCCACACAUAUGAUUUUAGAAGUAACUUUUUUCACUUUUUCACUUGGUAUAAUGUGGGUAUUUUCCCAUGAUAAUGCAAAACAUAUACAUACAUAUAUACACACACACACGUAUAUAUGUACAUAUAUAUGUGUAUGUUUUCUCCUUUUUAACAAUUGCAUAAUACUUCACACUAGGGUUUCUUGAAUUUAUGUAACCAAUCCCUAUUAAUUGACAUUGAGAUUGUUUUUCUUUUUCAUCAUUGGAAUUUACUGUUUGACACUUGUGCAAAAUAUCUCCAUAAGAUGAACGCCUAGAAAGAAUCUUAUGGGGCCAUAUGAUAUCCAUGUUUAAAAUUUUGAUAAUUACUGCUAAAUAAUCCUCCAAAAAAGGAUGAACCAAUUUACAGGACUCCUGGAAGUGUAUACAAAUGCCUACUUGUUCCCCCAUUUUCUUCAAAAAUUACGCACUGUUAGCCUUUUAAAAAUAUUUCUAAUAAGUAAAUAUGUCCUCUCAAUAGUGAGAUUAAUGGUCUUUUAUGUGUUUGUCGACAUUUAGCCUUUGAAUUGCUUUUUUCUGUAUUUUGCCCACUUUUAAUUGGGCUGCUUUUUUAUAUUGAUUUAUAGGAACAAGUCUUUAUGCAUUGCACAUAUUCACCUUUUGGCAUAUACAUUCGAAAUAUUUUCUCCUGAUUUGUUGUUGCUCUUUCAAUUUUGCUUGGGAUGUAUUUUGCUAUACAGAAUUCGAAAAUCUUUAGGUAUUCAAAUCGAUUUGUAUUUUCUCUUAUAGUUUUUGGCCUACUACCAGCCUACUUAAGAAAGGCCUUCCUCACCCCCAAGAUUAUGAAAAAGAUUAUCCUAUAUUUUAUUCUCAUACUUUUAUGACUUUUUGACAAUUAAAUUUUUAUUCCAUCUGCAUUUUAAUUUUUAAAUGUUUAUUUGGUUUUGAAAGAGAGAGUGCACAAGCAGGGGAGGUGCAGCAGGGGGAGAGGCAGGGACAGAAGAUCUGAAGUGGGUUCCGUGGGGACAACAGCCGAAUGUGGGACUGGAACUCAUGAACCAUGAGAUCAUGACCAAAGCUGAAGCCGGACACUCAACCAACUGAGCCACCUAGGUGCCCCUCCAUCUGCAUUUUUGAACACGUCUUAUGGUGUCCGCAUGCCGCCACCGGCUUGGGUUCCGCAGAGUGGUCACCUUCUGCCCGCCUGAGACACCAGCUGCCUGCGCCAGGACCCUCCUCACCCACCUAUUUCAAUCAACACCCCUUAAGCCUUUCAAGCACGACUGCGAGUGGACAACCAGUAUCACUUGCCAUGAAUGGAAGUUUGCCGUGACCUGAAGGAUGCACAGACUCAAAAAGGAAAGCCUGGCCUCUCUAGUGGAUCGAGUUCCAGCCCCACCGCCUCCCCACCGCCACCGAUCCACAGUGGACACGUAGCACGGGCUUUCCCCAGACUGGAGUUCCCGAGGCCAUCCUUGGACAAAGUCUCCAUGAUCUCCUGGGAGAGUCCUUCCUCCAAGAAGUCUUGUGCCAGAGGGCA